rnacentral:tRNA from 1 species
GGUGCUGUGGCUCAAGUGGUAGAGCGCUAGCCUUGCAUGCAUGAGGCCCUGAGUUUGGGUCCUCAGCACCA